rnacentral:rRNA from 1 species
CCUACGGGAUGCAGCAGUCGAGAAUCAUUCACCAUGGGGGAAACCCUGAUGGUGCGACGCCGCGUGGGGGAAUGAAGGUCUUCGGAUUGUAAACCCCUGUCAUGUGGGAGCAAAUUAAAAAGAUAGUACCACAAGAGGAAGAGACGGCUAACUCUGUGCCAGCAGCCGCGGUAAUACAGAGGGCUCAAGCGUUGUUCGGAAUCACGGGGCGUAAAGCGUGUGUAGGCUGUUUCGUAAGUCGUGUGUGAAAGGGGCGGGCUCAACCCGCGGACGGCACAUGAUACUGCGAGACUAGAGUAAUGGAGGGGGAACCGGAGUUCUCGGUGUAGCAGUGAAAUGCGUAGAUAUCGAGCGGAACACUCGUGGCGAAGGCGGGUUCCUGGACAUUAACUGACGCUGAGGCACGAAGGCCAGGGGAGCGAAAGGGAUUAGAUACCCCAGUAGUC